UACGGAGGGUGCAAGCGUUAUCCGGAUUCACUGGGUUUAAAGGGAGCGUAGGUGGGUUGGUAAGUCAGUGGUGAAAUCCCCGAGCUUAACUUGGGAACUGCCAUUGAUACUAUCAGUCUUGAAUACUGUGGAGGUCAGCGGAAUAUGUCAUGUAGCGGUGAAAUGCUUAGAUAUGACAUAGAACACCAAUUGCGAAGGCAGCUGGCUACACAAAUAUUGACACUCAGGCACGAAAGCGUGGGGAUCAAACAGG
rnacentral:rRNA from 1 species